rnacentral:lncRNA from 1 species
AGCACCAGAGUUGCUGGAACUAUGUAAGCUUCCGAGUCUAAUUUUGUUUAUGCUCUUUGAUCACAAAAGUGUUGAAUGUGAGGUUUUUUUUUUUUAUGGUUUCUGCAGAGGAUACAUGGCGCCUGAAUAUGCACUAUGGGGUUAUUUAACCUACAAAGCAGAUGUCUACAGCUUUGGUGUUGUUGCAUUGGAAAUUGUUGCUGGAAAGAACAACAUGAAAUAUCGACCAAAUGAGAAUUUUGUAUGCCUUGUGGAUUGGGUAAGUGGAUCUUCAUUUUAAAUUCCUUCAGUACAUGCAACUAAAAUCACAGUUUUGUGGCCAUUGUUACUUGAAAGACUUCUCCACUCAAAUUUGGUCAUCCUUAUACGAAUUUGGUUUCUCUGUUUUUUCAGGCCCUUGUUUUGCAACAAAAAUGGAAUUUAAUGGACCUGGUAGAUCCAAGGUUGGGUUCCAAUUUCAGUAAGGAAGAGGCAAUUAGAAUGGUUAAAGUGGCUCUGCUAUGCACCAAUCCUGCACCAGCCCUUAGGCCUACUAUGUCUUCUGUACUGAGUAUGCUUGAAGGGAAGACUGCUGUUCAUGAACUGAUUAUGGAUCCAAGUAUUUAUGGUGAUGAAAUGAGGUUAACAGCUCUGAGAAACCAGUUUGAUCAGAUUGCCCAAGAGAGCUCAACUGGAACUCAGAGCCUCAUUCGUUCAUCGAAUGCAACGUGGAUUGGUUCUUCUGCUACUUCUACUUCUUCAGAUCUCUACAAAAUCAAUCCUAGUUCUUAGUAAAUGUAGACCUUUUGUUGCCCACAACGCACAAGCCCUUGUAUAAAGAUGCAUUCACUUCACUUUCCAAUACCAAAAACUUCAACUACCUCUUACUUCAUUUAGAACCAUUUCAGUUUUCAGUUUUUAUUUUUCAAUUUUCAAUUUUCAGUUUUCAAAAACUGAAAAUUGAAAACUUGUUUGGUAACUAAUUUCAAUUUUCAAAAAAAGUGAAAAGUGAAAACUAUAAACAAGAUGUUUGGUAACUAAUUUCAAUUUUCAGUUUUCAGUUUUAUGUGAAACUUGAAAAUGGAAGCUUUUGGGGUCCAAUUAUGAAUUUGAUAUCACAUGAUGAGAGUGCAUGUUACAAAGAGUUCGUAGUAUUUUUUGGCGAAUUUUUUUGAAUUAGGAUGAUUUUUUGGUGAAUUUUGGAGAUGGAGUUUCUCAGGCUUAGAUUGGGUAUGUAGCCAAACGCAAGAAUCGAGCGACCGGGUCCAAGUCAGGAGGUCCCAAAUACCAAAUUUUGAUAACUUGAGUGCAUUUCAUGUGUCAUAAUGUAAAAUUAAGGAAUGAAAUAGGAGUGCAAAAAAAAAAAAAUUGAAAAAAAAAACUGAAAACUGAAAAUGCUUUCAAGUUGUUUUAAAAAAUAAGGGUGAUUUUGAAAAAUAAAUUUCACUUUUUUGAAAACUGAAAACGAAAUCGGUUAUCAAACAUGUUUUUAGUUUUCAAAAAAAAUGAAAAUGAAAAUGAAAUACUUAUCAAACAAUCCGUUAGAAAAUGAGGAUAUCCCAUCUCCAAAAAGAGGCCAACUCUUUCUUCUUCAUUUGUUCUUUUUUUUUGGUUCUAAAGAGAGGCCAACUCUUAUCUAAAUGAUUUUGCAUUCAAAUGAAAAUCUACUUAAUUAAUGAUUAAGAUUAAUGAUGACAUAUCAAAGGAGCAAAUAUUUCCCACCAUUAAUUAUAAUUUGUGCUUGUGUAUCAUAAGCCAAGUUGUUUGACUACUUUAAUAUCUGUUUGGGAGUGCUUCUGGAAGGGCCAAAAGCUCUUUCUGAUAGCUAAAAGCGCUUCUGACAGCGUUUGGCAGAAAAGUUUAGAACCGUUUCUGGGUCAUAGAAGCGCUUUCUGGAGAAGCACCUGCUAUGUGCUUAUUCAGGAAGCACUCUAAAGUGCUUUUCCAUAAAGCACUCUAAAGUGCUUUUCCAUAAAGCACUCUAAAGUGCUUUUCCAUAAAGCACUCUAAAGUGCUUUUCCAUAAAGCACUUUAAUUUUUUAUGAAAAUUCAAGAUUUUUAUAAUAAAAGCGCUUUUGUUAGAAGCGCUUAUGAGCAUAAUUACUUCCUAGAGAAGCAGUGGCAAACGACUGUAUAUUGUGACCCAACUGUGAGACCCAUAAUAGUAUAUUAACGCGCACACACUCUUCCUCUUUCUCACGCAAGCUCUCCUCUCUCCCUCUGCAACUCUCUCUCUCUCACUCUCUCUCUCUCUCUCUCUGUUUUUUUUUUCUCUUCUUCUUCCUCUCUUUGAUUUUGGGGCUGAUUAAGGUUAGAAGGAGGAGAUUUAUGUAAAAAUAUAUAUACCUACAGGUCCUACACAUGGGCCAAACCGGAAUUAGAAAAAGAAAAGAAAUUUUCCAAGCGCGAAGUUUCUCUCGAAAUUUCGGUAGAAUAUCCUUCUGUUGGGGACCAAAUCAAUCGUCAAGUCCACUGUAUGCAUAAGGAAACUCAUAGUAAUUAAUUGUCAAAGUCUAUCAUAUUGACUGAUAGACAUUGAGGACGGAAACUGAGGGUAGUUGCUCUUCAAGUCCUAUGGUAAAAACUGAGCGUAGCAGCAUGUAUGAACACAAGCAUGAUUAGUAUGAAUAUGAAAUAAGAAAGGCCCCACUCUCACUGAAGGGUCUUGCCCUCCUUGCCUAUAAAUAGGUAAUGGUUUGUGUGCAUUGUACAAGCCCGAGUAAGAAAGAACAGUGCCGAUGAGAUAAAGAGAGAGAGAGAGAGAGAGAGAGAAAUUCCGAGAGAGUUUUCUUACCAUUGUAGUGCAUCAAGGAUAAAUGGCAAGAGGAGUUAAUUGUAUUGCUCCAAAAACCAUCAUGAACCUUAUUAUGCUCAUUUCGGUUCUCUGCUUAUGCACCAAAUCAGUCGAAGUUGAAGCACAAGCUUCGCGUCUGCCUGCUGCAGAAGGUAACUUACUCUUCUUCUUGUUUAAGUUUGUAUAUAUUGGUAAUACUAAUAUCUAUGCAUUCACUCAAGCCUCACUUCAUAAUCACAGUGGUGUAGUAGGGCACAUGAGGGUCGACUUUCCCAACUUUUCUCUCUGCCCUCUCUCUUGCAUUUUGGUUCGCACCCUCUCUGUUUGAGAGUCUCCUUCACCCGCUGUUGGUGAUUUUGCUUAGGCUUUAUGCUCAUUUCUGCUGGUUCUUAUCCACCCUUUUUCAUAGCCAGUGUUGUUUUCCUCUUUUUUCCCCAUCUCCUCUUCCUUUCCUUGUCCCAAAACUCUGAUCUUGGAUCACUCCCUGCUAGGCUCGAAUUCCCGCAACCUCUUCCGCUCUACUGUGUCAUCCUCUUCAGAUCCAUGGCUCCAUGUUGGCAUCUGUUGGAGCGUGAUUUUGGAAUCUCCUUAAAGCGCUUUUGUUGCUUAUUGGUCGCUGGAGGCUGUAUCCUCCCCAGACCGCUCUCUGAGUGCCACUGUUUCUAUUUUUUUCACUAAAAAAUUGUAAUUUUGGACUGAAUGAAUCAAACCAAACCACAAUUAGUUUCGUGUGGUUUGUUUUGACCUUUUUGAAACCCUCUAAACUAAAUCAAACCAACCUCUUUUUAAUUUUUAAUUUUUAAUUUUUUUAACACUUAGUAUUAUUCGUUGUCAUCUUUUAUUAACACGUUUCAUCUUAUUCAUUGAUAUCAACCGUUGCAAAAAUUAAAAUACAUAACCCUUUUGAAUUUGAUGCUCUCUCUCUCUCUCUCUCUCUCUCUCUCUCUCUCUCUCUCUCUCUCAUAAUUAGGGAAUAAUUCAAAUACUCAUAUGUUAAUAGUAAUCACUAGGAAAGUCAGAUUUAGAAUAGGCUUUUCAUCACAAAACGUCCCUAAAGUUUACGAAACUAUCAUAUUGUGUCUUUUUUUUUUUUUUUGGGUGUCAUUUGUGAUCUUCAAGAUUAAUAUGUAUGCUCAAAAAUGGUCAUUUUGUCACAAACUCCGUUUGUUUUUAAUGUGGCAUAUAUGUAGAGCCCACAUAUCCAAUAAUAUAGUGCUUAUGUAUUUAAAAUAUAAUUUAUAUUUGUUAAAAAUAAUUUAAAUUUUAAAAUACAACUUUUCUUUUGGUUUUUUCAUUUUUAAUUUUUUAUGAAUUUUAAAUUUUAAAUUAUUUAAAAUAUAUAUUGUAUUUAAAAUAUACGUGGCACUAUAUUAUUGGAUAUGUGUAUUCCACAUAUAUGCUACAUCAGCAAACUAACGAAGUUUUCGACGGAACUUGACAGUAAAGACUAUUUAUGAGCACAUAUAUUAACCUUGACAACCAUGAAUGACAUGACACACAAAAACAAGAAAGACACAAUUUGAUGGUUUUGUAAACCUCAAGAUUUAUUUUGUAAACCUCAAAACUUUUUGUGAUAUAAAGUCUUUUAGAAUAAUCAAAGGGGUCCAUAUUGUCAUGUUGUCAAAAAAAAAAAUAUUAGAAAAAAACUUUUCAUGGGCCCCAACAAAAAAAAAAAUCCUCAAAAAAGAAAUGAAAAACUUUUCAUAGUGAAAGAAAGCAAAACACCUCCUUCGACAAUAAUGUAAUCGAAUCGGCCAACUAGGUUCGAAGUUAUAGACAUAACAACAGACACACCCAUCAAAAGUCAUUGGCUCAUAAGGCUGAGAGGGACCCUUCAUUAACUAAGGAGACUCAGGCUGAGACUGAGAUUGAGCCAAGAAAGAAUAAGGAUGAUACAGAUAUCAGGGAAUUGAUAUAUUACAUCAAGGAUUGAUAUGGCAAGAUUUCAUUUUGAUGUUUCAAAAGCCACCAUGGACCUUGUCAUUUUGGUAGCCAUGUUGGUCCUCUGCUUCUGCAUAUCCAGAGUCAAAGUUGAACCACAAUCUCUUCUUUCUUCUUCUUCUGAAUGGUUUUUCAAGUUGGUAUUGCUGAUACUCAAAAUCUAUGCACUAAAGCCUCAGUUUUUGUUUUGUUAUGAAAAAAUUGAAGCCUGAUUUUUUUUAUAAAAUAGUUUUGUUGAACAGCAGAGAACAGAGUGCUCAAUGCAAAAGUUGGUCUUUUUGAUUGAGAAUUGGCAGUCCCGAUCUCUUGGACCACAGGAGUCCAAGAGAUUGUGAUCACCCACCGUUGGAUAUUAAUACAAUGGUUCAAAAUGAUAUAUAUAAAUGCAAUAUGACAUAAAUGAUUAUUACCCGAUUCAAGUCAACCGUUGAAUUUACAUCCAACGGUGGGUGACCAUAAAUCUCUUAGACUACAGGGGUCCAAGAGAUCAGGACUGUGAGAAUUGGUAGAAGAUUUUAGCCUUUCUGGUGUUACUGUGUUAGAGCACUCCCAGUUCAAUGUUUGUCGUAUAUCCAAAAAUUAGAACCCAUAUAAUUUUGCAUGUUGGUUAGAUUAGAUAUAAACUUACAAAAAAGAUUUAAAAAAAGAAAGAACUUGUUUUCAUCCUAAAGUUAUAUUGAUUCAAAAGCAUAAAGGUUACAACUUUAUAAUCGAAAACGAAAUGAAAGAAGCUAACGAGUUGGACCUGAAUUUUCUUUCAUCAUUACUACUGGAAAUGGAUAUGAAAUUCAAUGAUUGCGAGAGAUACAGAGCAUGAUCUGUAUCUUCUAGAGAGGUUUUCUAGGUUAGAAUGGUGGGUGGCAGAAGGCCCAAGCCCAAUCACUAGUUUGGCAUCAACAUUAAUUUGGGCCAAUAUCAGGCUCAAUCACUCUACUUUUCUUUUAAUAAUGAAAAAUAAACUCGGCUGAUGCAUAAAAAACACAGAAAAUGGAAAAAUAAAAAGAUUCAUGAUUUGAUUUGUGUGCGCAGUGGAAGCACUAAAAGAAAUAGCAACACAAGUGGGAAAAAAAGACUGGAACUUCAGCAUAGAUCCAUGCAGCAAGGACACAAAUUGGAAUACCCCAGAAUCUGCUGACUCUCUAUACAGCAACAUUCUCAUAUGCAGCUGCACCUACCCCGAUGGUUUCUGCCAUGUUGUCAGCAUGUACGUCAACUGAAAGCUUUUAUUUGUACUCAUUUUCUGUUUGUUUAUUUAUUGGUUUAAUUAUCUUAUGUAGCAUUUCAAUCCAGUUUUCAUUAUUUUUCUAUGGAGAAGAUUCAGAAUGAAGACUCUUUAUGUUCUUAUGAUUUCUGACAUUUUUGUGAUACAGUUCUCUUCAAGGGCAAGAUCUUGCUGGUGUAGUUCCACCAUCUGCUGCAAAGUUACCCUACCUAACAACAGUGUAAGGGAAACUUUUUCAGUUGUAAAUUUUUAUUUUUUUUAUUUGUAAUAGCAUCCAUCAUCUGAAAACGUUUCUUAUAUCAUUUCCACAAAUGGUAAUGUUAUUACUAAUAUCUUCUACUCUUGUUUACAGACGUUUUACCAGGAACUACCUUAACGGUACUAUACCGCGUGAAUGGGCUUCUACAAAGUUGAAAUAUCUGUAAAGGAUUUCUGAACUUCAUGCAAGGUUAGCCAAUAAUAGCUUAUAUUAACUGAACUGACAAAAUGUGUACACUGUGCAGGUCCGUCGAUGUGAACAAUUUAUCAGGACCAAUCCCUGGCUACUUGGGAAACAUAAGCACCCUAACACAUAUGUAUGCUCUGGCUCUAUCUCUCUUUACCAUUUCAUAUUAUUUGUCAAAAUCAAUUUUAGGUUUCAUUUGAUUUUAGCCUAGUGUGAUGAAGGAGAAUCUGUUUUCAGAAGCUUGAAAAAUAAUUACUUUUCUGGAACUGUUCCUCCUGAGCUUGGGAAAUUGGUUAACUUGAACAAUCUGUAAGCCUCUUUUAUUUUUUCCUUUUUUUUUCCUUUCACCCUCAGUUUUCUUUUGUUUAAUUCUUGAUUUUUAAAUAUUAAAUAAGUUGAAUAUGCAAGUACCAAUUGAUAAGUUGGCAUUGGUAUCUGCAGCAUUCUUAGUGCAAACAAUCUCACAGGAAAGUUGCCACUGGCUCUUACUAAUCUGACUAAGUUAACAGAACUGUAAGUGUUUGUACCCUUAACAUUGCUUUACUUCUAAUUACUUUAUAAAUUUGGCAUGUUAAGAAAUCUUCAACUUUAUGCCAUUCAAUCUUUCUCUUUAUGCAGUACGAUUAGCAGUAACAACUUCACAGGAGGAAUACCUGAUUUUAUUCAAAGCUGGAAGCAACUUCAGAAAUUGUAAGUGAUUUUUCCAUCCCAUAUUGUAAAUUGUUAGGAUAUAGAAAUUUUCUGGUGUAACAUCUAUUCGUUUUGAAUUCUAUUGUUGACAGAGAGAUCCAAGCUAGUGGUCUCCAAGGGCCCAUUCCGUCUAGCAUUUCUGCCUUGAGUAAUUUAACAGAGCUGUGAGUUCUGCAUUCAAUCCUAAGUUGCAUUAACACUAAAGAACCUAAAUCUGCGUUUACAAGUUAAUUAUAACUUCCUAUAACAGGGAUUCUUUUUAACAAUGGUUCAUGAUGCAAUUAAAUGCAGAAGGAUCAGUGACAUAAAUGGACCGGGUUCAGAAUUUCCACCUUUGAGUAGUAUGACAGGCAUGGAAAAAUUGUAAGUAUUGAAAAUGUUCUCUUUUUUUAUUUUUUUAUUUAUAAUUUUAGACUAGUCGACGCUUACCUGCACUUGUGCUAAUUGAUAGUUAUGUUGCAGAAUGCUGAGGAGCUGUAACUUAUCUGGACGCAUCCCCGCUUAUAUAUCAGCAAUGACAAGCUUGAAAAUAUUGUAAUACUACCUUUUUUUUUUUUUUUUUUUUGUUCAAUUGCACAUAAUACAAUUAUUUAAUUUUAUAUAUUUAUCACAAUUUGGUUAAUGAGUUCAAUUUGUUCAGUUAAACAUCCAAGUUAUAAACUUUGGGUUCUUAUAACACAACUCUAGUUAUUUUCUUGCAGAGAUCUCAGCUUCAACAGAUUGGAAGGAGACAUUCCUGAUUUAGCAGCUCUGAAAAAUUUGGAAUACUUGUAAGAAAUGUAAAUUUCAUGCAGGUUGUGUUUUCAUAAUGCAUAGGGCCUCCCCGGAAUAUAUCAUAUCUACCUAUAUUAAAUUACAUACCGCAUGCAUAAAUUUAGACGGAGAACAGCAUAAAUUCCGAGUUAUUUCAUGUAUAGUCAAUAUUUCAUCCAUGUAACUGGCCUUUUGAAACAGUAACGAUAUAAUUUAACUGAAUGUGACUAUGUAAUUGCUUUCUGAAUAGGUAUCUAACAAGCAAUUUGCUCACUGGAUCUAUUCCAAACUGGAUCAACAGCAGAGAAUAGUAUGUAUUCCAUCCUAUAUCAGAUUUGCUUGGGUUUUAUUUUCCAUUCAAUCCUGCAGGGAUAUAUUCUUCUAAGUCAUCAUAAUAUUUUUCACACACACACACACAGAUAUAUUUAGAAUUAUGAGAACUUCUACUUUGAGUGGAGUUUAAUCUCAUGACCUCUUUAGAGGUCCGAUGCACAUUCUGUUUCUGAUGGAGUCUUACAUGUUUACUAUAUCUGUGUGCAGCCAGAUAGAUGUUUCUUACAAUAAUUUUUAUCCGAGCUCUGAGCCAGCUUGUGGUAGAGAAACCCUGUAAGCAGUCUUCUUUUCAGUUGGCAUACCGCACAGUUUGCUGUCUUCACUCGCCUAAUUUUCUUUUGAACCUAACUGAUUUCGCAUGUAUCAGGAACUUCUUCAAAAGCUUUUCUGCACGAGACAACUCGUAAGCUUCUAACUUAUUAAUCUUCAAUGAUGAAGCAUUUUUUUAUUUUCGUUCUGUCAACUUCAAAUUUACAUAAGCUGAUUUUCACUACAGUACUUAUAGAUCAUUUGGAGAGUGCCUGAGCAGCUAUCCUUGUCCAAAAGGUAACAAUAUAUCUUUUAGAUUCAAGAUAUGAUUAUACGGUACAUACUUUAGUUACCCAACUGGAGUUUGUUUUUUAAUUAUUUAAUUUCGUGCAGAUUUUGUAGAAGAACUCAGUUAAUUUAAGAUUUCAUAUGACCUGAUGGAAAACUGUUGAUAAGACUAUUUCAAUUUCAUUUAUCUACUCAAAUACUUGCUUUAAUCUAAUUAUAUUUUAUUUGGUGUUUUUUCGUGGUUGUUACUGAAUAGAUCGGUACUCAUUACAUAUAAAUUGUGGUGGAAAGGCAACCACCAUUGGAGGAAUUAACUUUGAAGGGGAUCCAGACCUAGGAGGUGCAGCAAAAUUUGUUCCUGUGAGACCUAUCUGGGGAAUCAGUACUACUGGACAUUUCUGGGAUGCUAACCCCACCUCUAAUGACUACAUAGCAAAUAAUGCAUCCACACUUGGAAUGAACAACUCUGAGUUGUACACAAGUGCACGCCUAUCUCCUCUUUCUCUCACGUAUUAUGCACGCUGUUUCGGAAAUGGAAACUAUACUGUGAGACUUCACUUUUCGGAGAUAAUAAUCCGAGGCAAUAGAUCUUUUUACAGUCUUGGAAGACGGAUGUUUGAUGUCUAUAUUCAGGUAGCCAAUCCCAUUGUUUAUGCACUGUCUAUGCUAAGUGAGAUGAUUUCUUAUUGAUAAAGUUUGUUUCAGGAGAAACUCGUGUGGAAGGAUUUUGACAUUGAAAAGGAAGCACAAGGGGUUGAUAAGGAAGUCAUUAAGGACUUUAAAGCAGUUGAGGUUAAGAACAAAACUUUAGAGAUCCGAUUUCAUUGGUCUGGGAAAGGGACAACAACUGCUCCAAAGAAAGGAACAUAUGGUCCUCUUAUAUCAGCUAUCUCUCUAGAGUCUGGUAUAUUCUGAGUUGCAAACUUUAGUGUUCUCUCUCCCGUACACACGCGCACACAAUUCAAAAGUUUGUUUAAAGUAUAGUGGAAUAAGUACCCAGGUGUAGAGUUUGUUUACUAGAAAAUGAAUACCAAUUUAUCAUAGAACGGAAGCUUAUGUCAUUGUAACCUUUUUUUUGCUUUUCAUUUUCUAUAAUUUUGUAGAGUUCACGCCUCCUCAUGAUAAGAAAAGCAAGGUACCUAUUGUGGUGGGAGCUUCGGUUGGAGCUUCGGUUUUGUGCCUCAUUUUCUUGAUUUUAGGCAUUCUUUGGUGGAAAGGCAGUCUGGAUAGCAAGACAUCAAGGGAAAAAGGUGCUAUUAAGCUACUGUGAAAGUUUCACGUAGUACAUUGUUCUCAUUAUUCUUUCAAAUGCCACGUAACUAGGAAAAUACAUUGUCAGACACUAAGUUCAAAAGAACUGUUAUAAAUACUUAAGACAUUGUUAAUAUCCUAACCUUGCUCUUUGUACAGCUCUUAGAGAACUGGAUCUGCAAACUGGUUUUUUCACCUUCAAGCAAAUUAAAGCCGCCACUAAUAACUUUGAUCCUAUAAACAAAAUCGGGGAAGGCGGUUUUGGAUCUGUCUACAAGGUACCAUUACCAUAUAACUAGUUCCUUACUUCUAGGCCUAUACUUAUCAUGCUUGAAAACUACUAAACUAUAUUUAUUUCAGGGUUUAUUAUUGGAUGGUACUAUAAUUGCAGUUAAGCAACUAUCAUCCAAAUCAAAGCAAGGAAAUCGGGAAUUUGUGAAUGAAAUAGGCAUGAUUUCUGGUUUACGACAUCCAAAUCUUGUUAGAUUGUAUGGAUGCUGUGUUGAAUCAAACCAGUUACUGUUGGUAUAUGAAUACAUGGAAAACAACAGCCUUGCACGUGCUUUGUUCGGUAAGCUUAUCAAGUCCGGUGACAACAAACUGAAAUGGUAAGAAAAACAAAAAUGAGAUCAUUGAUUGGGAAUCCAUGUUUGUUGCAGUUCCGGAGGAAAGUCCUUUAAAAUUGGACUGGUCUACAAGGCAGAAAAUAUGCAUAGGCAUAGCAAGAGGUCUGGCUUUUUUGCAUGAGGAAUCAGCACUGAAGAUUGUACAUAGAGACAUUAAAACUACAAAUAUAUUACUAGACCGAGACCUUAACUCCAAGAUAUCGGACUUCGGGUUGGCCAAGCUUGACGAAGAGGAGAACACCCACAUUAGCACUAGAAUUGCUGGAACUAUGUAAGCUAUACUGUUUUUUUUUUCUCUCUGAACUGCAUUUCAGAGCGUAGUGUUGUUUAUGAACUUUUCUCCACCCAGCUAAGGAAAACAAUCGUUUUUUGUGUUCAGAGGAUAUAUGGCGCCAGAAUAUGCACUAUGGGGUUAUUUGACCUACAAAGCAGAUGUCUACAGCUUUGGUGUUGUUGCAUUGGAAAUUGUUGCUGGAAAGAACAACAUGAAAUAUCGACCAAAUGAGAACUUUGUAUGCCUUGUGGAUUGGG